rnacentral:rRNA from 1 species
GAUGAACGCUGGCGGCGUGCCUAAUACAUGCAAGUCGAGCGAACGGACGAGAAGCUUGCUUAUCUGAUGUUAGCGGCGGACGGGUGAGUAACACGUGGAUAACCUACCUAUAAGACUGGGAUAACUUCGGGAAACCGGAGCUAAUACCGGAUAAUAUUUUGAACCGCAUGGUUCAAAAGUGAAAGACGGUCUUGCUGUCACUUAUAGAUGGAUCCGCGCUGCAUUAGCUAGUUGGUAAGGUAACGGCUUACCAAGGCAACGAUGCAUAGCCGACCUGAGAGGGUGAUCGGCCACACUGGAACUGAGACACGGUCCAGACUCCUACGGGAGGCAGCAGUAGGGAAUCUUCCGCAAUGGGCGAAAGCCUGACGGAGCAACGCCGCGUGAGUGAUGAAGGUCUUCGGAUCGUAAAACUCUGUUAUUAGGGAAGAACAUAUGUGUAAGUAACUGUGCACAUCUUGACGGCACCUAAUCAGAAAGCCACGGCUAACUACGUG